UCUUCCAUAGCUCAGUCGGUAGAGCGACGGACUGUUAAUCCGCAGGUCCCUGGUUCGAACCCAGGUGGAAGAGCCA
rnacentral:tRNA from 5 species